AUUUGCAGCUCCGAUAAGUGGCAUUUUAAAAAACCGCAGUGUCAGUUGCUGAUCUUGAGAUAUAUUUGCGCUUUACAUAAAUCAAAAUGCCUGCUUGUCAAGUAUGCGGACGAAACGCUGUUCCUGCAAGAAUUUCUUUUGACAGACACUACCACCCACAAUGUUUUAGGUGUGUGAAAUGUAAGAUACAUCUCACACCAAACCGUCACAAAGAGUUUAAAGGACAACCCUGCUGCACAUCUCCUUGCUACAAUGUUUUGUUGACAAGACCUACAGCUCGUUAACGUUGUGUAGCCUAGGAAGAGAGAGUGUCUACAAAAUAGACUGCCCCAGUCAACGAAAUCCAUCAAUCUCUUAUCUCCAUACAUCAUGUUGUUUGUGAUAUAGCUUUAGAUUUAUGUUUAUGAAUGCACAUACGACUUUGACCAUUUAGAUUAAGCCUGUAGAGCAUUCUUUUUUCAUUUAUUAUUAUAUUUGCAUUUUAUAAAAGAAAGGAAAAUAAUUAUUUUUAUUUUUAAAAAAGACCCAUAUGGUAAAUAAACCUUUUUC